CUGUGCACCAAACCUGUGGUGGUCACUGCACCCCUCCAGGCUCCCUCUACGUGACAUCCAGAAGCUGCACACAGUUCAGUUUUACCUCCUUUUACAGCAUGACUUCAUAUGAUGUUACAACAACUGCGCAAGUGACAAAAUCUGGAAAAAUUAAAACAAGAACCUGGUCUUCAUUUGCAUGAUAUUCUGUUCCUUUCUCAGGAUGUGUUAUUUUGCAUCCAGACUGGCGUCUUCAUGAGGAAUAGCUUAAGUGACUUCAGAUAUGGUCUUGCUGAUAUGAUGAAGACUUUGAAGACUUUCUACUGUCAACCAAAAGAAGUCUGGACUGCAAAAGUAAGGCCAGACAUCUAAAAGGAACAUCUGGUUGACCAUAUUUUCACCAAAAAAGUGUUCUUUGACAAUAUUGAAGUUAUUUUUUAAUGUGAAGAAUGGAAACCAUAUGAUAUGAUUUUCCUAAGUCACAGAACACAACAAGUCAGUGAUAGGUAACGACUGUAUUCAAAUGUGUAUUUUGUGCUUCCAGCUAUGUGGACCAAACCAUGUGACCCAGUAACAUUAACAUAGGGUAUCUUCACUUUAUGCUAUAGUACUAUUUAGGAUUCAUGUCUAUCUUCUCAGCUUCAAAGAUGUGUGAUUACUGAACAGAUAAAAGCUACUGCUGGUAGCACUUUAGGAAUUGCAUAGAAGAUGCAGGAGUCAUUCUGUCUUAGCCUAAAUUUAGGAAGUCUAAAUAGUGCAGAAUGUUUAGAUUUUAUAUGGGCAAACCAUAUAAAGAAAAGUGUAUUUCUGCUUUUAAUGGAAGAGAGCGAGUGACACUUUGAUAGCUGAAUCAACACUUUCGUUGCUCCCUUUCCUCUUUCAAGUGUAGCAUGAGAUUUUUUCACACUAGGCUGGGAAGACGCCCAGAUGCAGGAGAAAUGCAGCCUCAAAGAUUUUCCUUUCUUGGUUCUGUUUUUGUCAAUGCCAGGCCACAGCCUUCAGUGGAUGGAAGAACAGUGGAUCCUGUGCACUCUUCCAGCACCUGUUGAGGCUUAGGUUUCUUUCCUUUUACUUAGGGAAUUUUUUUUCCCCCAUAAGUUGCUAGGAAAAACUAAUGACUGGGUACUUAAGAAAACUAAAGUAGCCAAGUUCAGGGGAGGAGGGCAUCUGGCUGCAAUUAUCUGCGUGUUUUUCUCUGGGGGGCAGAUACACCUUGAGAAUUGGACAGGUAAAAGACAGGGCUGGGGCAGCUGCUAGCGCUCUAUUUUCUCGGCUUAGGAGGAGAAUGGUCAGAGCUGCUGCUUGGGGCAGGGGAUUCACUGCUGCCGCCAGAGCCCAGCCCAGAGCUGCUGCUUCUGCUGUGGGGUGAGCCUCUGCUCAUGAGAGCAACCACGGGACUGGGAGCUUAUUAACACCCACCUCCCUAAAAGAGGGACCUAUCACCAUGUGCUCGGGUGCCCAGGAUCCUGAGCUCGCCUCUCCCUGCUCUGCUGGGAGCCAGGCUGCUGCUGUCCCACUGCCGCCACUUCUUUGGCACUGCUCCGAGCUUUCACUGCACUGCAGCCCUGCACGCCCCGCCUGCUGACACAUUCUGCUGUUCCAGCUUGGUGCUCCUUGGAGUCCUGCUGGGACACUGAGAUCCGCUGCCCCAGGGUUUGUGGCGCAGAGCCUCUCCUCCAUCCCUUCCCGUCUCGCUCAAGCCACCAUUACUGCGUGCUGCCCGUGUCACAGCGCCCCCUGCAGCCUUGGGGGAAUCAUUGCACCUGUCCUGCCUGCCAGGAGCCAGCAGCGCCCCUGCAGGCUGUGACCAGAACUGCACCGAUGGGGAAACGGCCUGUGGCCGACAAGGGGUCACUGGGUUCCUGCUGCUGUUUGUUGCUAAU